GGCUGAGAUGGGUAAAUUAAUACCACGCCUACCAACCACGCCCAUUUUCGUCAAAAUUUUUGCUGCGCGCUUCGCGCGCAGCAAUUUCCGAACCCCCUAUUUUCAGUUCCUGGCUACGGCCCUGGAAUUAACAGGAAUUUUCGUGACAGAAUGACAGACAGACAGACAGACAGACAGAAUGACAACCCAACUGCUUAGUACCCGCCUACGCAAGCGUGGCGAGUCCAAUUAUUACAUACUAUGAAUUGUUACUUAAUAGAUACACAUCCUGAUGAUACAACUAAUCUCACUGCUACAACUGCUCCUCCACCUACUAACACUUCUACUGAGUCAUCCUCUACUGUCACAACUGUUUCAGCAGGUCUUAUUGUUAAUGCUGUUAUCCUGACAUCAUUGGGUGUCAUCAUAUUAUUAUUAAUGAUGUGUCUCAUUGUAUCAGUUUGUUUUGUUAUUAUCUACAAAAGGAAAUUGCAUAGGGCUACCUCAUUACAAAAACAGAAAACAUAUACUGCAACUAAUGAAGCAUACCAGAUUAACAGUGUUUAAUGAUUUAUAGUAAUCCAGUUUAUGAAGAAAUAGAAGGACACAGAAGGGACAUAAUCAAUAAUCCAGUUUAUGGAGAAGUAAAAGGUAGCAAAGGAGAAUUAAUCAGUAAUCCAGUUUAUAGAGAAAUAGAAGGUAGCAAAGGAGAAUUAAUCACAAAUCCAGCAUAUGGAGAAUAGAAAAAAACAGAUCUAGGGAAGGAUCAUUAAUCAUUAAUAAUAAUCCAGCUUAUGGAGAAAUAGAAGGCAGCGGAGGAGAAUUAGUCAAUAAUCCAGCUUAUGAAAAAAUUGAAGGCAGUAGUCAUUAAUCAAGAAAUGGGCUGCUUGUGAAAUUAACAGUAUAAUCUACAUUGUACAAAUUACAUGCACAAAGUGAAUUUAAUUUAUACGGUACUUUACCAAAUAUCUACAAGAUUUAUAGUUUUACCUCCAUGUAGUUUUGAAAUAAUCAAACUCACAUUUACUUUAA